CACACACGUAUGCACAGGUGUGUGUACACAUCUGUGUAUAUACAUACAUAUAUAUAUAUAUAUAUAUAUAUAUAAAUUUUUUAAAACAGAUAAAGAAACCAAGUCUCAAGGUGCUUAAGUAACUUAUUUCAUUGUACCAGUAAUAAGUACUGAGCACAAGUUUAUCUAACCUCAAAUUGAUUGCUUGUCCACUCUGUAUGAUGCCACCUCUGUGGAUCAUCUUCACCUCUCUUUUUCCCAUGUAUUCUAAUGAGUCAGGCAAAUGGGACUUGCUUCUUGUGUAUUACAUAUAACAUAUCCAUCUGAAUAAUAAAGGGUAUUAACAAAAUUGUUUCUAAACCUCCCUCCAUCUGUGGCAUUGUGUGUUCCCAUAACCACAUUCUGGUGGCUACCAUUUUAGAAUGGCAUGAAGUAUAUAAUUACAGAGCAGAUUUGGACAAUGUUGAUGGAAACAUUAUCGCUAUCGAGUGUAAUGCUGUUUUCUUUGGUCUCAUGCAGCCUUCUCUGUAAGAUUGUUACUUCUCCCGCCAAGUCAGUUCCCUGAAAUCUGUUAGAAAACUAAACACAGGCCUGUAUCCUUGUGGCAGUGGCUGCCAAACAUACAGUUCCUGCUGUCUAGUUGGUGACAUGCUGAUCAACCUUUGAUCUUCUAAAUGACUGCAUCUCAGCAGAGACUCAAGGGGAUGUUUUCAAAGAAGACAGUGUGUGUUCACCGUUUUCAAGUAGACAGGGGGUGGUCAUUCAAGUCAUCACUCCUGAUAUUCCCUGGGGUACAUGUGGUUUUUGAAUAGUAACUAAAAGCUACUUGGACACUUUGAAGAACCAUAUCCCUGACUUCAGUCUGGAACUCCUGUCUGAAACUGCAACUUGAGUUUAAAAGGCUUAAGUUGUGGGUGUGUUCCCUCUUCAUGAGAAGCAGUUUGUGAUUCAUUUAUUCAGUUGCAUUGUAAAUGGGCAUUUAUGGAGCACCUGCUCAGGGCUAGGGAUUAUAUUAAAGCUGAACUUUUCAUUAAGAAAAAAAAAAGAAUCCUCAGUACAACGUGUGAAGUAGAUAUAUAGGUAAACAAAUAGCGAAAAUGCUGACGACAGAAAUGGCAUCACUUGAGUGCCUAGAGAAUGUUCUAGAAGAGCAGAAAGAAGGGAACCACUAAGAGUUUGGGAGUAAGUGAGGAAAAAUAAUCCCUCCGAAGUUAUUUUGGAGUAUAGUCUUGAUUGUAACAACUUUAUUUGAAAGAAAAGGGGGAGGUAUUUGAGGGCAGGAGAACAAAAGCUGAUAAGUUUGGGGACCUGCAAGUUCAGAGUGAUUAUGAGUUGCACAGGAGGAGGAAGGAGACAGUGAAAAGAGAAUUUCAAAAGGAGUAAAAUGGGCCAUAAUAUGAAUAUUCAUACACACCAUGCAAAGGUAUUUGGGUUAUGUGAAUAGAGAACCAUUGAAUGCUUUCACUGGAGAGUGAUGUGGUCAGAUUUGUUCUUCCACAAGAUCACUCUGCUGACAGAACGAUGGAUUAGAGUGAGAAGGGCAAAGAAGCCCCUAUGGAUAGUCAAGUUACAGGUACAAUUUUUCCAUUUUGGUAAGAAUGUAUAAAAGAGUGAGAAGACCCCUCAUUUUUCAUAGCCUCUUUAAAAAUAUGAAAACCACGAGGAUCAGAUAUGAAGAUAUGUGGAAAUUUCAUUAGGAAGUAAUUACAGUGUUUAUUUUCUUUGACUAGCAUGGUUUUUUUUUAAAAAAAUAUAUAUCAGUAUACCUUGACUUUGUAAUGACUUAAAUUUUAUAUAGCAGGAGCCACAGUCUGUCCUCUAGUUCCAUGAAAUAUUUACCAACUCAGUCUUCAAUUACAAUGAGUUCCUCAGUUGUUAAAAGAUACUAUUUCUUAUUGGAAGAUUUUCACACCAGUUCUCCAGCCACUGAGAAUGCUUAUUUAAUGUCAAUGCUGUGUUCAAGAACUCCCAAACAUCUAUCAAGUAUCACUGAGCCAGGUCAGAAGAAUGAAUGUGGACUGUUUUAAGACAUGUCAAAGUGAAUGAGUGUUUUAUUAAGCUCUUCUAUUUCUCAUACAAGCCAGGGAAAAAAACAAUGAGCAAGUCUUCAGUGUUGAGAUGGGAAAAUACAAAAACCAUCCGGCUUCCUCCACUCAUCACCAUGGUUUCAUCAUUUAUUACACAGUAAAACAAACAUAGCCACUGACUAUAAUUCUUAAUGAGCAUAUGUGACUCUGAUAAUAUUUAUCAGGUUUAUUUGUUUGAGGCCAAAUGAAAUGAAAAGAAAAUAGUGCAACAUGGGGUCAUUAGUCUCUUCUGACGUGUGCUCUAAUUCUAAGGAAAACAUUAGUGGCCUAUUUAUAGCCAAGUACCUUCAGCCACUGAAGCGAUAAUGGCCUGUGGAAUAAUCCCCGGGAUGGAAAACAGAAAUUCCCAGAAUUAAACUUUCUUGCUCAUCUGUUCUAUGGUCAUAGGAAAUCUAUCAGCACUGUCACUUCUCAUCAACAUGGAGAAAUGUUUUACAUCAGACCAUUAUGCAAUUCUCCCCAACCAGACUGUCUUCACCUUCAUUUCUGCUUAAGUCGGGGUCCUCCCAGCCAAAAGCAAUGAAAAAGGUCACUUCCUCCAGGAAGCCCUUCCUACAUCAACCCUAUCAUCCACAAAUGUCAUCAUUUGUGCCUUAUAUAUUACUGGCACUUACUUAAUCUUUUAUUAUGUGUUUUUCCUUUGUUCAAAAUAACUUAAAACUCAUGUAGAUGAUAUUUGCAAGACAUUGUUCUAGGCCCCAUGGUGAUGGUGUCUGAAGAAAGUGACAGAUAGAUGGAGAUGCAGUUUUUUUUUCCCCAGUAGUGCUACAUAAUCCAAGAGGAAUGGUAAUAUACAUCAGCAGGGUCAAAAUGCAGUCCUCAGCCUCAUUUCUCCUCAGCAUGUGAGAUAGAUGCAUCUCUGUUGCCAAUUCUGGAACUCACCUCUAAUUGACAAGAAGGUGUAGAAAUGAUAAGAUGGCUGGAAUCCACUCUGGUGGGGUGGGAGACAGGAGGAUGUGGAAAGCAGUUUGAAAAUGGUUAGUAGGCACUGAUAUUUGGUUCAAAGCAGGAUCUUUGAAACAAAAUGUGAUAUGGAUUUAUAUGCAGGACCUUCCACUAUCUAUGCUAUUUUUGAAGCUAUGUAAUUUUUUGAGCCAAAUAAGAUUAGUAUUAAUAUUAAAUUAUUUUGUAAACUAACUGAUGAUAUUGUCUAGGUUAUAAUAAGUUUACAAGAAAGGUUUUGUUUGCUUUUGUUAUACUAUUUUAUGCUUCUGAGAGGGUAUACCCUCACUUCUUCCUCUUCUGGAGGGAGGGUCCUUGCAUUGAAUUGUGAACUAUUCCCCAAGAGAAAAAUAGAAGAAAAGCAAUUCUAUGACUGGAGGAAGAAAUCAGACAGCUUUCUGGAAAGGAUACCGUGACAGAUGGCUUUCAAGGGUUAAUUAUAAUUGAAGGAAACAAGGAUGGAGACAGAGACAUCUAACCCUGAGCCAAAUAAUAAAUAGAAUAAAAGGAGUGCAUUUAGCACAUUUCUUUCUUGAUAUUUCAACAUGAAUUUCAGGCAUUUGUUGGAUAUUCCCACCAGAAACAGUAAGCUUCUUAGAACAGGAAUUUUAUUUAUUAUCCCUGUAGAGAAACCAACGGUAAAGAAAUAAAUACUUCAUUGAUGAUCUGAGACCCAUAUAGAAGUCAAACCUACAAUUGGGAGGUUGAUUGAUACACUGUGAAAUCAAUCCCUCCUGCUUUGCAUCUCAGGAAAAGAGGCUUGGGGAAAACAGGGGUGGAUCAAGGGGAGUUGAUUUCUACAUGGUUUCAUUUGUGUGAACCCCCAUCCAUACUCCCCAAAGCGCAUGGCAUGUGUAACAAGUGCUUCAAAAUCAUGAGAGUUUGGGUUUAUUGAUCUUUUGUAAUUCUUUAGUUAUUGGUAAAGUCUUUUAUUUUAAAGAUUUCCAACAUGUUUUCAGCUAAGCAAAGCAGCAACUAAAUGAUGGUGUUUAAGGUGUGCAGAAGUUUCAAAGGAAAAGAGCAACCACAGAAUGCCUGGGUGCGAUAAAACUUAUGAUAAGUGCUACUCCAGGUAAAGGAAGGUGGACUCAUUGGCUCAUCACUGCUCCCCUGAGAAGAUUCUUCUAGGGCUACCGGGUCCUGGGGUUCAUUUUUCUGAAAAAGAAAAAAUUCUUUCCAUCAAGGUAUCUUUGUAAGUGGUAUAAGCUAUUGAGAAAAUAAUGUUCAAUAAAUUGUGUUAUACAAGGCUGUAUAGCUGUGCAGAUUUUACCUUUGAAUACUGGCAUUAAGGGUAGGAAUAAUGGUAGGGGGGAAAAUGUAUGUUUAAAAUGUUCAUUUUAAAUAUAUGCUCUACAAAUAAGAUCAUAUUUAUUGUCGAGAAAAACAAAAUAUUCAGAAAAGUAUCAAGAAUACAAUAAGGUGUUCUCAUAACCCAUUGAUUGAACAUUCAUUUAUAUUCUCCAUUUUAUAGACAGACACACACUUAAAGGGAAAAAUAAGACAUGCAAGAUUACUGAAAUUCUCGUGACUUGAUUGGGUUUUUUUUUCAGUUAGUAUAUAAUCUUACCAAUAAGUAUACUUCUAGCACAUUCUUAAUUUUUGUAAUAUUCUUGGUUCCUCUUUUAUGCUAUUCUUACUUCACCUUUGUAGUCUGAUUUACUUAGUAUACAGCAAGAGUGGGAGAAUUAAUUUUCUUCGGUGGAAAGCUGUACCUGCCCCUGUCUCAGGAUGUCCACCUCUGCCCUGUGAUUGGAACAUGAAUGGGCAUGAAACAGUUUGGGUUCAUAAACAACAACAGAGUCUAGAACAAGCAAGAAUCAGAAGAGCAUUUCUGUCUUCUCACUGGUAUCUAAUAAUGUGAAGCUUGAAGUUUUCUUGGGUAUCAUGUGGCUGAGUUGGUGCUGGGUGGGGAAGUUGGGGAGCCUCUGAACCACAAAAGAAAGGAUCCCUGCCAUGUGCUUACAGGUUCCCAUGUCUGGAGAGGCUUUCUGGAAAGACAGGGCCUCAAGGUCUUGUAUAAAGUAGUUCUUGUUGUAAUGGGAAAGAUUUGACCUUGGAGGGGGCCAAACCUGGCUUUAAAUCCCAGGCACAGGCACACUUAGCAGAAGUUAUUUUCUCUUUAAACCUCAGUUUCAGGACCUGUGAAGCAGAGGCAAGAAGCCAUCUCUACAACUUGUCAGAAUUCAAAAAGUAUAUUCAAGAACAAAAGUGUUGUGAGAUUUGAGUGUUGGGAGACAGACAGACACAAUCACGAAUGAGAAGACAGAAGGGGUGGGUAAGAGAAUGAAAGAGGAAUUACUGUAUGGAUGUCCCUGAACUCAUACUCAGGGGAAAUCAAUUUCUCCUGCAUAGGCUGCUCAAAGUUGGAUGUGCACAUGAACCACCUGGGGAUCUUUUUAAAAAGUAGAUUUUGAUUAAGAGUUCUUGGAUGAGCCCCCAUCUCCUGGUGACAUUGCUCUUCUGGUUUGUAAAACACUACAGAUCAUCCAUGAAGACGAACCUCAUCACUCUUAUCUUUUAUUCCUUGAAACAGCUUCAUCUGCAGUUUCCUCCUUGAAUUUCUCCAGGAAGAGGAAAUCACUCCUUGGAAGGAGGUAUCCCUGGCAAGGAAACAUCUACAUUCUUGACCCAAGUCCCCUUUCCUGGAGGAGUCAGGACACUAGCAUGUGCCCACCUGAGCCUACACUUCUGAUCAAGGUGGAGGAGAAGAACUUUAUGCAACAAAAGAAACAUCUCCUUAUUCCUCCAACUGUGCUCACAUGGGAACAGCUCUUACAGACAGCACCGGCCUUGACAACAACUCAGUCCCUCUCUUCCUACUUACCACUUCUCCUGCCAGCUGACCUGCAUCUCCAGAGGAUGUGCCUUCUACUCAGCUACCCAGCAGGAAUGCCACUCUACCAUUAGUCCAGUCUCUAGUGUUUCUCCAAUGGCAGCGUGCAACAAUGGAGCGUAGUGGAGUAGAGGACAGGUCCUCCGAUGAUAGAAGGAAGCAGGCAACAGGUUCUAUGGAAAUUAUAAUGAGUUCAGAAGGAUGAAACCUAGGAUAAAACCUUUCACUGUGUCUUCUGUUUUUCCCGUGGGGGAAAAAAUUGUCCUCAUGCCCCAACAUCAUAGAGAUGUAUACUAUGAUUUGAAUAUGUUCCCCCCAAAGAUCAUGUAUUAGAACCUUAAUCACCAUUGGGGCAGUGGAGGAAGGUAGGGCCUAAUGGGAGGUAUUUAAGUCAUGAGUGCUCCACCCUCACACAUAGAUUAAGACCAUGAGAGUGAAGUUAGUUCUCAUGGGAGUGAGUUGCUGUAAGUUUUUCUUCCUCAGCUUCUUCUUGCCUCCUCUUCACCAAGUGUCCCCUUCCACCCUGUUAUGAAAAAACACAAGGCAAGAAGAUAUUGCCUUGGAUUCCAUAGCUUCCAGAACCAUGAAUCAAAA